UGUUACAUGCAUUAUAUUUAUGCGUCUCUGUUUUUGUUUUUUUGUUUUGUUUCUUUUCUUAUGAACGUGUACAUAUUUUUGUGUAA
rnacentral:ribozyme from 1 species